CCUUGUACACACCGCCCGUCACACCAUGGGAGUGGGUUUCACCAGAAGCCGGUCGCCUAACCGCAAGGGGGGCGCCGACCGCGGUGAGAUUCAUGACUGGGGUG
rnacentral:rRNA from 1 species